rnacentral:lncRNA from 1 species
UUUUACAGCACCUGAGCAAGGCAGUGUCUUGGAAGAGGGAGGAUGAAAGCACUGCUGCCAGGUAAGUGCCUGUGACCCCCAUCGAAGCACGAGAAGGCCACGUGCUCCAGCACUGUUAGCCGAGCCCUUGGUGUUGGGGCCAGCAGAGGCAGAAAGGCCAGUGAAGCGAGUCACAAGGACCACAGCACCGGAUCUGGCUGCGGCCCAACAGCACAGCUUUCUUCUCAAGUGUCAAACAGCUCAAACUUUCCUCCCUCCCUUCAGCAGAGGCAGCAGCCUCACUGGGCCCCUCCAGCCCGGCUGUGUUGCUUUGAGUCAGCAGGUUCACAGCUGGAGGUUAGGAGGUAGAGCAACCUUUUCUGGCAUAUGUGUAACACUUCUGCUCAUCCCCACCCUAUUUUUUGCAGCUCCUCCACAACACAAAGGCAGGGGGUGCCUCCAAGGCAGGGAAGGGAGACAGCAUUUGAAUGCAAGAGACCUUUACCAGACAGCCAGGUUGAGUAUUCAAGGCCAAGCAGGCUUCUCUAGAGCAUGUUGUACAAGAGCACAACCCCUCAGGCACGUAACUAGAGGAAGUUACUGCAUUCAUAAACCACUGCUGGCUGAACUUGAUAAGUUAAUUAGUGUCCAGAGCCAGUCUGAGCAGGAUACCUGGCCCGUGCAAGCAGGGAUGGGAGCAGGUUCUCAGCUUCGUCACAGCUCUUGUCUCACUUCACAUCACCUGGCUGCAACCUGCAGCCUCUCUGGGAGCUGUCACCAGCUGGGCGACCACUCCCAGCCACCCGUGGCCACACACUCUGGGUUCUGGGCAACCACUGAUGCUCUCUGCUGCUUAAGAGAGCCAGACUUCUACAGAAAGUGUCAGCUUUAACCUGCCAGCACAGCUCCGGCUGCCCUCUCAGCUUUCACUCAGCUGCCCUAAGAGAAGGGGCAAUGGACCACAGACACUUCAGGGGGUCAUGCCAGGGGCCUGCUAAGGAGCAAGGACGUGCCUCCAGCCGACAUAAGGCAGUUGUCUGGAGCCAGAAUAUUGCUGCAAGGCAGCUUGUCACCCUCUUCAUCCUCUUCCUGAGGGGGCACAGAGCCACCCAACAGCCUACAGGAGCUC